rnacentral:tRNA from 1 species
GGGUCGUUAGCUCAAUUGGUAGAGCGCGCGCUUUGCAUGCGCGAGGUAGCGGGGUCGAAACCUGCACGAUCCA